GUCCAUUUAGCCAGAUAUAACUCUUUUGAAAAGAACAACAACUAAGUAUUUCCGAGCUUUUUGGGUGAGGAAGAAUACCCUAAGAAUGCAGAGAAAAGUAACUUCUCAACCAGUAAAAAACAUAAGUCUGGAUGGUGUAAAUCACUUACCAAGACUCAUGAAUACCAAAAAUGCAUCUACACGUAGAAUGCGAGGGUGCACAUCAAGAAGAAGAAUAUUCUGUAUCAAAUGUAAAAUGUAUUUAUGUGUAUUAAAAAGAAUUACUUUGAAAAGUUUCAUACAAAAUAAUGUGUUGAUAAAGAUGAAAUAUUAGUUAAAGUUACUUAAAAUUAAUAAAACAAUCAUACAUUAGGAUGUUAUUGUGAAAUUAA